AAGGCUUCUUGGCCUUUUGGCUAAGAUCAAGUGUAGUAUCUGUUCCUAUCAGUUUAGAGAAUAAAACAAAAAUGAGAGAUGUUAAAGGAAGGGGUGAGGCCAGUGAUAGCUCGCAUGUGAUAUAAUAAUAUUAGGAGGGAAUUCUG
rnacentral:snRNA from 1 species